rnacentral:rRNA from 1 species
UACGGAGGGUGCAAGCGUUAUCCGGAUUUACUGGGUUUUAAGGGUGCGUAGGUGGAUAAUUAAGUCAGUGGUGAAAUCUUCAGGCUUAACCUGGAAACUGCCAUUGAUACUAUUUGUCUUGAAUACUUUGGAGGUAAGCGGAAUAUGUCAUGUAGCGGUGAAAUGCUUAGAUAUGACAUAGAACACCAAUUGCGAAGGCAGCUUACUACACAGUAAUUGACACUGAGGCACGAAAGCGUGGGGAUCAAACAGG